rnacentral:rRNA from 1 species
CAUUAACAAAUUCAACACAUGUCAGUAGGUUGUGACGGGGGCGAUCUGCUCGGCAAACCCGGGUGGGCAUCCUCUAUCCCAGCCUAUUGGUCAACAAAAUUACAUUUAUUAUUGACAACUAAUGGAGAACCACUUGUAAUAAUGGUAAACAACUUUUAACAAUGGAUCUCUCGGCUCUUGCAACGAUGAAGAACGCAGCAAACUGCGAAAAGUUAUGUGACCUGCAAUCUUCGCGAAUCAUCCAAUUUUUGAACGCACUUUGCACCUUGUGGCCUAUGUCACAAGGUAUACUUGUUUGAGUAUCCACAACCAUCUCACCUCCCCUUCGGGGCGAAGUGGACUUGAGAGUUCGAGGGGUCCUGCUCACGUAGGAAUUAAUCGUCUCUUUAAACAAAUGGCUCAACAGUGGAAGAUCUCCGUUAGGAGCUUGACAGACCAUUGGGAUAACGUCCUACAAUUGUUUGUCUUGCUCAAUAUUAGACGUUGAUCAACCUAGGGCCUCACCGACCAAACCCUGAUAAUGCUACGCAUCAUUUGGGGGCGAUCUCUAAGCCACAUGGAUUUGUGUCUUGUGAAAUGGAUCUCAAAUCAAGUAAGGAUACCCGCUGAACUUAA